CCCUUAGAUGUUCUGGGCUGCACGCGUGCUACACUGAUAUUGCCAAUAUGUCAUUCUUAUCCGAAAUGGAUUGGGUAAUCAAGUAAUGAAAUUUCAUGCUUGGAAUCGGUAAUUGGAAUUUUAUCGUGAACGAGGAAUUCCUAGUAAGCACUAGUCAUCAGCUAAUGUUGAUUAUGUCCCUGCCCUUUGUACACACCGCCCGUCGCUACUACUGAUUGGGUGUUCAAGUGAGAUGCUUAGACCCUUGUUGCAUGGUUCAUUAUUGUGCUCCGAAAGGAAAAAGUUUCAAGCUUGAGUGUCUAGAGGAAGUAAAAGUCGUAACA
rnacentral:rRNA from 1 species